GUGGGGAAUCUUCCGCAAUGGACGAAAGUCUGACGGAGCAACGCCGCGUGAGUGAUGAAGGUCUUCGGAUUGUAAAGCUCUGUUAAUCGGGACGAAAGAGCCUAGUGUGAAUAAUGCUAGGAAGUGACGGUACCGGAAUAGAAAGCCACGGCUAACUACGUGCCAGCAGCCGCGGUAAUACGUAGGUGGCAAGCGUUGUCCGGAAUUAUUGGGCGUAAAGCGCGCGCAGGCGGAUCUGCCAGUCUGUCUUAAAAGUUCGGGGCUUAACCCCGUGAUGGGAUGGAAACUACAGAUCUAGAGUAUCGGAGAGGAAAGUGGAAUUCCUAGUGUAGCGGUGAAAUGCGUAGAUAUUAGGAAGAACACCAGUGGCGAAGGCGACUUUCUGGACGAAAACUGACGCUCAGGUGCGAAAGCGUGGGGAGCAAACAGGAUUAGAAACCCGUGUAGUCC
rnacentral:rRNA from 1 species